CAACAAUAAUUGGUCAUCACGACCAUAUAUUAUUUCAAUUUCUGAAUAUGUCAGAAAUAAAUAGUAGCAAAUUACAUGCUGCAAAAAGUCUGUAGCAAAGAGGACUAAACAAGUGAAAUCACACAACAAUUAACUCAGCUCCUGGCGGUAGUUUUUCUCCAAUCUGCAAGGCCCGCUUUCUUGUUGCCCUCAUUUUUUUCUGGGUUGUAACAAAUUCAGACAAUAGAGUGGAUUCUUCAAUGACAACCUUUUUGAGAUCGAUGAUAAACGUUUCAAGUGCAACGGCAUUCUCAGUGAAGUACAUGGCAAGCUCAGUGUCGAUAAUAGACCCAACGAACCCAGAAAAUUUCACCACCUUAAGGCACUGAUGAGGACAUUUAUUAACCUUCUGCAUAUUCCUCUGACACGAGUCGCGUACCCAUCUUAACUGCACAAGGACAUAACAAAAGCUUACGAAUCUACCUUGGAAAGUUGAUUCCACAUAAAUCAAUUACACUUUCACAGUUCUCAAACCAUUAUAUAAACUUCCCAACUAUUAAAAUUUUAAGAUAUACUGAAAAUAAAUUUACCUUCAAUGUAAAUCCAUGCAAGAAAGGAGACCGCUCUAUCAAUUUAGUCAAAGCAAGGAGGCUUAGCCGAUCAGUUGCGAUAACACUCAAUGACAAGUCCUUGAGACAAGUAAAUUCUGGAAAUUCUGGGAGCCACACCCCUCCUCUCUGAAAGAUGAAAAGUUAAAGUUAAAAUUUGGAAUAUAUAUAUAUAUGUAAAUAAAUAAAUAUUGAAUUAUUUCAUAUACCGACCGAAUUCAGAUUCAUGUGCAAGUUGAGAGUCACCAGCUGAGGAAUACAACUUUUAACCGAAAGAAAAGGUGCAAUUAUAGACCUAGUACUUUCUGCAAGAGAUACAUUAACAAGCAAGGGUGCAUGCCUCAAACGAAUACUGUCACAAAAACCCAACAUUCCCUUAUAAAUAAAUGACACGAGAUUAGGAGCCCAAAUCUCAACUAAUCCUAAAGACGUACACUCACUUAUUUGUAGGAACUUCAACCGGAGUGAUGAACCAGCAACUUUCAAAUUUACUUAUUGAUCUGAGCAAGAAACGCAGAGAUGCUCAAGGAGUUCACAAUAGGAUAGAAAAUGUUCAACAAGUUCGCCGGUUAUAUUUACAAAGGACAAAGAGAGGUGUUUAAGGGACUUGAUGCAGGAAAUACCAAAAGGGCUUCUAAAUGGCUUAUCUGGAAAGGUAUAACUGGGAGAAGAAAAACGAGACCGUCUGCCUGCUUCCAAAUCUAUCUCAAGGCCUUGAACUCUCCUCCACAUUGCAAAUUCAAUCCAAUUGUCGAUUUCAGAACUACUAGGACUGGAAUCGGGUGAGGAAGAAUGAAUUUGGAAUUCAUCUAAGGAUAGACCCUGGUGCAAUUGCAAGACUUGAUUCACCCAAUUGUAACUAGAUGUUGUUUUCACUCGUUUUCUUUUCUUCUGCAGUUUGGAUAAUGCAUCUAUAUCAUCGAAGUUGAGACACGUAAUCUGUUUCCACAGAGAGACCCACCUCUUCGAGAGGACACAAGUCCUUGCUGCUUCCCUAAUACCCAAUAGGGAAAGAAUGCUAAUUAGAAUGGCAUCUGGUAGCUGACUGAUCUGAUCGUCCUCUGAAUAAUUCUCUUCCUUAUCACCCAAAUUGAUUGGAAUCUUUUGUUGUUUCCUGUAUGUCCAUCCAGAAUGCUCAGCCUUUCUUUUCGGCAUCGAAGUUGGAACACCCUUGUUAUUAAUUUACUCUCUUCUUAAAUGUUACAAUGUAAUCAAAUAAGCUACACGAAGUGGAGCAAACCGAUUAUUACUAAAACCAACUAUCAAACAGAUGAAAAGAAGCGAUCAUCUAUAAUAAAUGAAGGCGGCGAAAAAGUUGGGUUCGUGAAUACAAGUAAUCUAAGCUAGUGACUCUAGCAGUGAAACCUUAAAACAAAGAGAAGAAGACAAGACUGUGUGUUUUUCAUUCACACCAACGUUCAUAAAAUCACACUUGUAUUUGAUUCUGUGUAAAUAAAAAAGUAGGGAGCCAAUAGCUGAUUAAAAGCCCCUGCUUUUCAAUCAAAACUUUGCAAUCUAGAAUUACCAAAGCAGCUAACCUGUUAUUUAUAGGCAGCAAACCGACUAAAAUGCACCAAAUCCAAAUCCAAGUCCAACUGGGAAACUACAUUUCUAUUUCCCUCUUUUUGAAGGAGAAGCGGAACCUUUUCGACUUAUUUGGUACAACUACAACAUCUAAAGACAAUUUUGGAUGUAAGCCAUGGAACAUAAUUGCGCCUCUGAAAGAGUAAAUCUGACACUGAUAGGUAUUUUGAUUUCAAAUACGAAAAAGCCGGCGAAUUUGAUUGAAAAUCGCCAUGUAACUCAAAAUUCCAAACUUAUAACAGGAAAUGAAGUUACGAAAAUCGAAAGGGAAAAACUUACUUAUUUGAGGGGUGGACAGAUGCGGCAUAUCUGCAACGCCAACCUCUAGCCGCGAAGGGAAAUGGGAAAUGGGGAAAGUCAUCAACGGCUCAUAAGAUCAACUUCUGUGGUUUUUGUUUGGAGGGGUAAAAGGGGAAUUUCAUACGUGUUUGGGUAUGGAUAGAUACCGUCACAUGCUCAUUUGUCCGCCAAACUCAAUCUAUCUCAAACUUGAAAUCCAAGUAGAGAAACAAACAGAUCUCUCCACUUUCAGCUCCUCGAUCGACCGUGCCGUCGCCCUCUGUGACAAGAUCUCAUGUUCUCUGUAGCCCUCUGUGAAUUACGGAAGGCUCUGGAGACCAUGAGAUCUGAUAAGAGGCAUCUUCUGAGUUCCAGUCACCCCAGAAGAAGACUUGGGUCAGGUGUAUCCAAAUUCAUACUUUUUUUGAGUGAGGAACUUUCAUAACAAAUUCUUAAAUAUUUUUAUAGCGUUGAUAAAAAGUCAUUUAUUUAAAUAUUUAGCAAGACUUUUACUCUUAAUAAUCAAUCUUAAAAAUAUUAAAAAGUCAUUUAUUUAAGACUUAAAUGCUAAAAUAGUCCUUGUGUUUUAUCAUGUUGGUCAAUUUAAUCCCUGUGUUUUUAAUUUAGCCAAUAUAGUCCAUUCCGUUAAAAUUGCCAUUAAAUAAACAUAAAUUGUUUUUUUUUUUGUGGGUAGAAAACCUAUAAACUUAUUUGAAAUUAAUUUUAACAUUUUAAUUAAUUAAAAAAUAUAUUGAAACUUCAUUAAAACCAAAACAUAACGUUAGGAAAGAAAAAAAAAACAAGAUGGGUAUAAUCAAGGAGGGGGGAGUGGGGCGACGACCAGAGUGGGCUAGAGGAUCCGAGCGACACGGCUGGAGAUGGGACAAAUUAAUGGUGGCAUUUUAAACCGAAAAACCGAAAAACCGAAAAACCGCAAAAACCAACCGAUAUUUUACCGCAAUAAAACCGCAAUCGCGGUAAAUCGAACCGCAAUCACGGUAUUAAGAACCGAACCGCAUUUGCGGUUGCGGUUGCGGUAUUUUAUUUUCAAAAUUUGCGGUUACCGCAAACCGCAAAGUAUAGCCGCACGGCUAUACUCUAUGAAUAAUUAAGUAAAAUUGUAAAUCCUUCUCUUCUCUCUCUGUAGCCGUGAGAUGAAAACCUAGAAUCUGUUUCUUCUCCUGAUUCCCAUUCGUCUCUCUCUCAACUCUCUCUCAACUCUCUUAUUCCCAUUCGUCUCUCUCUCUCUCUCUCUCUCUCUCUCUCUCUCAACUCUCAAAAUCGGCUUCUCUCUCACAGACCCGAAUCGAACUCAUCUCCUCCUCUCUCUCUCUCUAACUCAAUUCAAGCCCUCCCUCUGUCUCUCUCAAGGAUCGAUCUUUGUGAAAAGCGCCAUUAGAGCUUCGAACCCGAGCGCAGCCGCUGAGUCUUCUUCACCUGGACUCUACUCCGCCAAGAAGUACGAGCUCACUGUUCCUAACGUCGACUUGGUUCUUGAGGACGUCCGCCCCUAUCUCAUCGCUGAUGGCGGUAACGUCGACGUUGUGUCCGUUGAGGACGGCGUCGUUUCACUCAAGCUACAAGGUGGGUUUGGUUGGGUUAUCUCUUUUUUCUGUCUCUGUUUUUCAUUUGAAAUAUGGUUUCUUUUUUCUGUCAGGAAUUUUGGGUUUUGUGAAUUUGAAUGAUUUACUCAUUGUCAACAUAUAAUUUGAUUGUGAAACAGUGGUAAUUAGUUAGAAUCAAUAUUUUGUUUUGCAAUUAGGCAAUUGAAAUUCCAACAGGGGCUUGUGGGAGCUGCCCUAGCUCAACCACCACCAUGAAAAUGGGAAUUGAAAGAGUGCUUAAAGAAAAGUUUGGAGAUGCGCUCAAGGAUAUUUCUUCAUCUAUGACGAUUGAGAGUCACCAGCUGAGGAAUGCAACUUUUAACCGAAAGAAAAGGUUCAAUUAUAGACCUAGUACUUUCUGCAAGAGAUACAUUAACAAGCAAGGGUGCAUGCCUCAAUCGAAUACUGUCACAAUAACCCAACAUUCCCUUAUAAAUAAAUGACACGAGAUUAGGAGCCCAAAUCUCAACUAAUCCUAAAGACGUACACUCACUUAUUUGUAGGAACUUCAACCGGAGUGAUGAACCAGCAACUUUCAAUUUUACUAAUUGAUCUGAGCAAGAAAUGCAGAGAUGCUCAAGGAGUUCACAGUAGGAUAGAAAGUGCUCAACAAGUUCGCCGGUUAUAUUUACAAAGGACAAAGAGAGGUGUUUAAGGGACUUGAUGCAGGAAAUACCAAAAGGGCUUCUAAAUGGCUUAUCUGGAAAGAUAUAACUGGGAGAAGAAAAACGAGACCGUCUGCCUGCUUCCAAAUCUAUCUCAAGGCCUUGAACUCUCCUCCACAUUGCAAAUUCAAUCCAAUUGUCGAUUUCAGAACUACUAGGACUGCAAUUGAGUGAGGAAGAACGAAUUUUGAAUUCAUCUAAGGAUGGACCAUGGUGCAAUUGCAAGACUUGAUUCACCCAAUUGUAACUAGAUGUUGUUUUCACUCGUUGCCUUCUUUUCUUCUGUGGUUUGGAUAAUGCAUCUAUAUCAUCGAAGUUGAGACAUGUAAUCUGUUUCCACACAUAGAUCCACCUCUUAGAGAGGACACAAGUUCUUGCUGCAUCCCUAAUACCCAAUAGGGAAAGAAUGCUGAUUAGAAUGACAUCCGGUAGCUGACUGAUCUGAUCCUCCUCCGAAUAAUUCUCUUCCUUAUCAACCAAAUUGAUUGGAAUCUUUUGUCGUUUCCCAUAUGUCCAUCCAGAAUGCUUAGCCUUUCUUUUCGGCAUGGAAGUUGGAACACCCUUGUUAUUAAUUUACUUUCUUCUUAAAUAUUACAAUGUAAUGAAAUAAGCUGCAGAAGUGGAGCAAACCGAUUAUUACUAAAACCAACUAUCAAACAGAUGAAAAGAAGCGAUCAUCUAUAAUAAACGAAGAAGGCGAAAAAGUUGGGUUCGUGAAUACAAGUAAUCUAAGCAACCUUAAAAACAAAGAAAAGAAGACAAGACUGCAGAUGAAAAGCUGGUGCUGGUGUUUUUCAUUCACAACAACGUUUAUAAAAUCACACUUGUAUUUGAUUCUGCGUAAAUAAAAAAGCAGGGAGGGAGCCAAUAGCUGAUUUAAAAGCCCCUGCUUUUCAUUCAAAAUUUUGCAAUCUAGAAUUACUAAAGCAGCUACCCUAUUAUUUAUAGGCAGCAAACCGACUAAAAUCCACCAAAUCCAAAUCCAAGUCCAACUGGGAAACUACAUUUCUAUUUCCCUCUUUUUGAAGGAGAAGCGGAACCUUUUCUACUUAUUUGGUACAACUACAACAUCUAAAGAAAAUUUUGGAUGUAAGCCAUGAAACAUAAUUGCGCCUUUGAAAGAGUAAAUCUGACACUGAUAGGUAUUUUGAUUUCAAAUACAAAAAAGCUGGCGAAUUUGAUUGAAAAUCGUCAUGUAACUCAAAAUUCCAAACUUACAACAGGAAAUGAAGUUACGCAAAUCGAAAGGGAAAAACUUACUUAUUUGAGGGGUGGACAGCCGCGGCAUAUCUGCAACGCCAACCUCUAGCCGCGAAGGGAAAUGGGAAAUGGGAAAUGGGGAAAUGGGAAAGACAUCAACGGCUCCGAAGACCAACUUAUGUGGCUGUUUGGAGGGAUAAAAGGGGAAUUUCAAACGUGUUGGGUCUAAAAUUAAAUAGACCCAACUCUUACACACGAGAUCGGUCCGGUCCGUUUAUGAAACACAAAAAGUAGAGGCCCGCCCAAGAAGUAAAAAAAGAAACAAAGGCCUAGUGGGUCAGCCAGAAACACAUGAAUACUAAAAAAAGAAAGUUAAAAAAAGGCGUAUCACAACGAAAGACUACGUCAGCCACACUCAUAACCUAACCUAACCUAAUCAUGAUGUUUGGGUAUAUAGAUACCAGUCAUUCUCAUUUGUCAGCCAAACUCAAUCUAUCUCAAACUCGAAAUCCAAGUAGAGAAACAAACAGAUCUCUCAACUUUCAGCUCCUCGAUCGACCAUGCCGUCGCCCUCUGUGACAAGAUCUCAUGUUCUCUGUAGCCCUCUGUGAAUUACGGAAGGCUCUGGAGACCAUGAGAUCUGAUCACAGGCAUCAGGGAAGAAGACUGGUUAUGAGGUCCAGUCACCCCAGAAGAAGACUUGCGAUAAAUCCAAAGAGCAGAAGAACCAUGGCCUGUGAAUGGCUUGAGAAGCCAGCCAGCACCACCUUUGGUGACGGGGGUCAUGAAACGCAGUGUCUUGUCUUGAUAGCUUAGAUUCAAGGGCCAAGGAUGAGUUAGGUGGUGAUGAUCGGCAUCAUCAAGGGGUGCAAUCAUCCAUUCUUUUUUUUCGAUUUUUUCUAGAAUAAUACAUUUUUGUUUUGUCUUUAAUUUUUUGUAUUUUUUUUUUUUUUUGCUGGUAUUUUUGGCAAAUACUUAAAGUAUAUAAUAUUUAUUUAUUUUCAGUGAGCUUGGGCUAGAGCGUUUCCAUUUUUUGUUCCAUUUUGGGCCUUUUGUUUUCUGUUUAAUCUGGGCUGAUUCUGGUCAGAUUGUCUUCAUGGACCUGUAAUGGGUUUUUUCUUUCUUUUUUCCGGACCAAGAGUUUUAUAAAUUUCUGAAAAACAAUAAACGUUUUCUCCCUCCGUUUUAUGUCCCUAUUGUAUCAUUUUGUAUUAAUUUUUAUUAUUCAAAACAUCAACACACAAGAAUAUACAAAAAUCAUUUUGUAAUGUUUUUGUUUUCUCAUAAUUUAUAGGUAUUUUAACAACGACCGUAUCAUUUUCUUAAUGAUCAUAUUAACAUACCAAGUUUAUAACUAACUAAUCCAGUCUGUUAAUGAACGCGCGCGAUAAUAUUAGCUCCGCAGCUUUGAGAAACCCUAACCACACUUUCUUCGGAGAAACCUAACCAGCUCUGGUCUCGCACUUCUUUGGAGAAACCCUGACCACACUUUCUUUGGAGAAACCUAACCUGCUCUGGUCUCACACCUCUUUGGUGAAAAUCUAACCUCCUCUGGUCUCACACUCUCUUUGGAGAAACUGGAGCUUCUUUCUCUAGGUACCUUCCUUUUUGAUCAAUUUUUACAUUUGAUUCUAAACAUUUCAACUUGCCUUCUAGCUAAUGUUUCACGUUGUGAAGUAUUUAUUUUGCUAGUAUAUUUAUUGAUUUUCAGAUUUGGGCUCCUAAACCCUAGUUUCCUUCUUCUUUUGGUUUAAGCUCUAGUUCAAUUUUUUGCUUUUCUGAGUUUUUUUCCUCUCACUAGUCUCACAAAAUGCACGGAUUUAAAUAAACUAUCUCACAAAAUGCACGGAUUUAAAUAAACUAUGUUCUUUUACUUUCUCUGUCAUUACUUUUGAGCAAAGCAUACAUAUUUGGGAGUAUUUUUGGGUGAAUUCGUUGGUAUUUAUUGCUGGCCUCCCUAUGCAAACAGUUGCUAUCACGCUUAAUGUGAUGUUUUAUCCUGAUGUUCUGAUUAUGAGACCAAAGUAAUUAGUGUGCAGUAACGUUUGAUUUUUCUUUGCUAUAUCUAUCCUUAGAUUCGUUGCUGCUGUUUAUUUCAAAUUUCCUUUUGUAGAUUGUUGUCUAGCUAGCUACUAGCUAGUUGAGAGCGAUAUGAAGAGGAGGAAUAUUCUUUAUCCAAUCUUUUUCAUGUCAGUUUCAUCCAGAAUUUCAACCCUGGUUUUCUUUUUCCUUAGUUUUUUGGGAUGUGCAAGGACUUUUAUUUCACGUGGUUAAGUGCUCUGUUUUAACCUUAUUUGGAUAAACAAAAUUACAAGGCAAGUUUAGCACUAAUGGAAUGGAAUUACCUUUUUUUUUAAAUCAAUUUUGCAAAAUACAUGUGUUGCUAGCUUUUGUGUUUCUGGUGUCCCAUCUCUAUCGGUGAAACUUCAUGAUUGUUCACCUGUUUGGGAAUUGAUUUUGCUCCCCACAACCAUAAAAAAUUAAAGUUGGUUUAGUCUCAUUAUAUUAUUUUGCCUUUUGAUCCAGAAAAGUGCUUAAAUAAUGGUAAGUUAGUGAGUUCAACAUCAUCAAUAGUUUGAAAAUUGAGACCUGGGGACACAUGAAAUUCCACCUGAGCAAGUAUGUUGCAAAAUUACCAGUUGCAAAAAACUGCUCAUUUGUUUUCAUGUGGUUUAUUUAGUGAGUCAGUUUAUAUUGCUCAUGUAUUAUGACUUCUCUCAUUUAUAAUUUGCUAUUUGAUUUAGUUUUGUGUUUUUUUUUUUUCAUGUGGUUUUGUACAGGAGAAUGACUACCCAAAUUUCACAUAUCAACUUUGACAAUUCCAAUUUAAAGUCUGAAAGUGUCAUCCAAAAACCCUUGUUAGAUUCAUUCAUGGAAAUAUUAAGGCUUUCGUGGCUGACCGAUGUUGUCCAAGAAGGGCAUGUAUGGAAAUGGGAGUUGGUUCACAAGGAAGGAUGUGUUAAGAGGACAGUUCCACUCUUCAUUCUCAAAGACGUAGUGGAUGAUUCAAGACAUGAAUAUGAAGAACAUUUGUUCUGCAUCUAUUGCAGCUACCCAAGAUGCAACAACAAUCUCGUCUCGAAGUGCAAGUAUCAUUUUGUAAUUUCAGCCGAUUACGAGUCCGGGGAGCAAUUGGACGAUCCUUUUGACAAGGAUGUUUACUUUUUUAAAGAUUGGACACACCUUAUACAUUGGUUGCUCAACAACAACGGGAUCGGCCGCCUCAUAUGUGUCAAUUGGAUUAAUGAGGGUUCUGCUUUCAUAACUGGUCGAGACAUCAUGCAUCUAUGGGGUUUACUUUGCCUUUAUUUUCAGGUUAGGUAAUUAUCGUUUUUAUAUUAGUUGUUUUAUAUUUUUGUUAUAUAUAAAACAUAUGAAUUGAAUUUGAUUUUGUGAUGUAUAGGAAAAUAACUGCAUGUGAUGAAGCAUGUAAAGCAUUUAGGCAUAUCACAUUGAUAGAUGGUCUCUGUGAGCCGUGCGAGGGGGCCAUGGAGACUAGGUUGUUGUUUAGUGUGGCUUUUGGUAGUAUGUGGUUUGGGAGGUUGGGAUACACGUUUCUACGUGGAAGCUAUGGGGUGUCAAGAGGUACCUACACAACCGCUAUUGGGUACCUUAGGUCUCGUUCGUUGAUUGAAGUUGAAGAAAUUGUAGGAAAAUACAAGAAGAUGUGUCUUACACCCCUAGAGUGCAUGAGAGAUUUAUUAUUUUUCGUGCUGCAGAUGAGGUGUGGCACGAGAGGCCGAAAAAGAACGGAUCUAAAUAAAGAUUUGUGGACGGUGUAUGAUGAGGUUUUAAUGAGGAGGAAAAAUCACAUCCAAACUAUCUUGAAUUGCAAAGUUUUUUGGACGUGAAUUUUCCUCAGCAUUAAAACCUCAUCAUACACCGUCCACAAAUCUUUAUUUAGAUUCGUUCUCUUUCGGCCCCUCGCGCCACACCUUAUUUGCAGCACGAAAGAUAAUAAAUCUCUCAUGCACUGUAGGGGAGUAAGGCACAUCUUCUUGUAUUUUUCUACAAUUUCUUCAACCUCGGUCAACGAAAGAGACUCAAGGGACUCAAUGGCGGUUGGGUAGGUAUCUCUUGACACCUCAUAGCUUUCACGUGGAAACGUGUAUCCCUACCUCCCAAACUAGGUACUACCAAAAGCCACAAUAAACAACAACCUAGUCUCCAUGGGCCCCUCGCACGUCUCACGGAGACCGUCUAUCAAUGUAUCCCUACCUCCCAAACUAGGUACUACCAAAAGCCACAAUAAACAACAACCUAGUCUCCAUGGGCCCCUCGCACGUCUCACGGAGACCGUCUAUCAAUGUGAUAUGCCUAAAUGCUUUACAUGCUUCAUCACAGAUAGUUAUUUUCCUAUAAAUCACAAAGUCAGAUUCAAUUAAUAUGUUUUAUAUAUAACAAAAAUAUGAAACAACUAAUAUAAAAAUGAUAAUUAUCUCGCCUGAAAAUAAAGGCAAAGUAAAUCCUAUAGAUGCAUGAUGAAAGCAGAACCCUCAUUAAUCCCAUUGAUACAUAUGAGGUGGCCGAUCCCAUUGUUGUGGAGCAACCCAUGUAAGAGGUGUGUUCAAUCUUUAAAAAAGUAAUUAUCCUUGUCAAAAAGAUUGUCCAAUUGCUUCCCGGACUCGUAAUCGGCUGGAAUUACAAAGUGAUACUUGCACUUCGAGGCGAGAUUGUUGUUGCAUCCUGAGUAGAUGCAGAACAAAUCUUCGGAUUCAUGUCUUGAAUCAUCCACUACUUCUCUUGGGUAGAAAUUUACAGCACCUAGUAUCAGCUGACUUGUUGCAUCUUGUUCCUUGAUCAAAACACAUUUGUAUGUGCUAUGCAGCAUCCCAUUCCAUAUUUUUGUUGCAAGUUACUAAAUUGUCACAUACCCUCUUUGUUGCCUUCCAGAUGCGCGUGGCAUGCAUAAGCACUUGUAAAUUGUUUCCUUGCAGCAUAAAUAUGCUAGGCUGCUCAUUUGUCUUAUCAUGAUUUAAUUAAUGUCAGAAACGGCAUAGUGGAGUCGCUGAGUGUGCAGGGAUUCUUGUUUGGAGACUCUCAUUGCAUAAUUGAUUAAACUUACUCAGUUCUGUACUUUUAAUUAGAAGACUGGUCCAUACUUACUGUACCUUGAGUAUGUUGGAUUAGUGAUCUAGGAUGCAUCUUGUAGUUGUCUAGUUUGUUUUUACGUUACCUUGUCAUAUGAGGCAUCAAUGGAUCAUUUGUUGCAAGCUACAUUUAUAAUUGUACUAGCACUACCCCCUUAGUCACAAGUUGUUAAACCUUCGUAAUUUGUCUCUUGAUCUAGUCAAUGCAGAGUAUGCAGCCAUUAGUUGGUUGACGAUCGAAAGCAUAUGGUGCAGCCAAUGAAUUCUGGAAUGAUCAUCUCUGUAGAGAGUGAAUGUUUUGUUUUGUUUUUUCUUUUCAUUUUGUUAAUGGAAAUUUCUGUAGAGCCAGAGCGUCGGCAUUGUGUGUGUACCUUCACUUCUUAAUAUUACUAUAUUCAACUUGUUAAAGUACUAUUGACACAGGAGGCCAAGAAAAAGAUCUCAGAAUCUAGGAACAUAAUUCAAUAAAAAAACAAAAAUGGUAUACAAUACAAGCAAGCACCAAGGGCUUUGAAUUAUUCUUCUGCAUAGAUGAUUCAGGUCCUGGUCUAGUUUCGUUUGGCUUCUGCUUGUCUUUCCUAUAGCACAACAGUUAGGCUGAUGUGGUAAAUUGCGGAGAUUGAGAGAGAAGGCUGCAAGCUAAAUAUUGCCUGAACUUGCCUUCCUCCGUUGCUAGCCUAGAAAAGGAAAUAAAAGGGAAAUUCAAGUAACAGUCUCCACCAUACACUACAAGAAGACAACGGAAGCACAAACAAGGUGCACUGGUUUGGAUAAGUGAUGAAUAUGCAGUUUCCGCCUCGGGGGAUUUAGGGGUCUGAUCAAGCUGUCAGCUUGCUUUGCGAGAUCAUAUUUCGAUAUCUGUGCCACUUCUCGUAUAUCUGGAAACCAGGAAGAACAGGUCUAAAUUGAGGAGCACUAGUGCAUUCCAAACAGCAGCAUCCUCUUAAAUCUUAACCUCAUUAUCAUUACAAGGCAUAAUUAGGAAAAAGUAAUGCGGCUAUACUCCUUUUUAUAAAAAAUAUAUAUAAAACAAGGCUUCACUCAUUUGACACGAUAUUCGCAUAGUCGGAAUAUUUGGGGAUGGGUGGAAUACGCAAAACAACACUUGCCCGAGCCAUUUUUAACCAAUUUUAUCACAGCUUUGAAGGUAAAAGCUUACUUUUAAAUGUGAGGGAAAGUGCAAAGUAACCAAAUGGAGUGAAGCGUAUGCAAGAACAAAUUCUUUGACAUCUUGAAACGAACCAAGAUAGGGAGAGUUGAUAUCAAUGUUUUAAAAACAAGACUUAGAUGUCGAAGGGUGUUAGAGUUUGUAUAGGAAAACACACUUCCAUUUAGUCCCACAUUGGAAGGGAGUUGUUUCCUUCUAUGGUUUAUAAGCACCAACACUUUAGAAAUAUUAAAUAGAGUAUUGGGUCUAGUGGAGGCAAAGUUGGGCCUCAUCAUGGUUUGGGCUUGAAUUAUAUAUAUAUAUAUAUUUUGUAUAAUAAAUAUAUAGUGAGUUUAAAAAAAUUAGUAUAGCCGUGCGGCUAUACUUCUUUUUUUUUUUCAUUUAAAAAUAGGAUGGCUUUACCUCUUUCACACGUGGGCCUAGGCCUCUUUGCCACGUGGGCUUAGGCCAUGGGCCGGCCUUUAUAUAUAUAAAUAUGUGUAUAUAAUAGAAUAGCCGCCUGGCUAUACUAUUUUUUUUUGAAUUUUUGAAAACAGUAUAGCCGUGCGGCUAUACUCGUUUUUUGCAUUUAAAAGUAGUAUGGCUUUACCUCUUUCACACGUGGGCUGAGGCUUCUUUGCCACGUGGGCUUAGGCCAUGGUCAGGCCUUUAUAUAUAAAUAUAUAUAUUAGUAUAGCCGCCCGGCUAUACUAUUUUUUUGAAUUUAAAAUAAAAUAGCAUAGCCGUUCGGCUAUACCCUUUUUUUCCAUUUAAAAAAUAGUAUGGCUUUACCUCUUUCCCACGUGGGCGGAGGCCUCUUUGCCACGUUGGCUAAGGCCAUGGGCCGGCCUUUAUAUAUAAAUAUAUAUAAUAGUAUAGCCGCCCGGCUAUACUCCUUUUUUCCAUUUAAAAAAUAGUAUGGUUUACCUCUUUGCCACGUGGGCUUAGGCCUCUUUGCCACGUGGGCUUAGGCCAUGGGCCAGCCUUUAUAUAUAUAUAUAUAUAUGAAUAUGUGUAUAGCCGGCCGGCUAUACCAUUUUUUUGAAUUUUUAAAAAAGUAUAGCCGUGCGGCUAUACUCGUUUUUUUGCAUUUAAAAAACAGUAUGGCUUUACCUCUUUCCCACGUGGGCUUAGGCCUCUUUGCCACGUGGGCUUAGGCCAUGGGCCGGCCUAUAUAUAUAUAUAUAUAUAUGAAUAUGUGUAUAGCCGGCCGGCUAUACCAUUUUUUUGAAUUUUUAAAAAAGUAUAGCCGUGCGGCUAGACUCCUUUUUUUGCAUUUAAAAAACAGUAUGGCUUUACCUCUUUCCCACGUGGGCUUAGGCCUCUUUGCCACGUGGGCUUAGGCCAUGGGCCGGCCUAUAUAUAUAUAUAUAUGAAUAUGUGUAUAGCCGGCCGGCUAUACCAUUUUUUUGAAUUUUUAAAAAAGUAUAGCCGUGCGGCUAUACUCCUUUUUUUGCAUUUAAAAAACAGUAUGGCUUUACCUCUUUCCCACGUGGGCUUAGGCCUCUUUGCCACGUGGGCUUAGGCCAUGGGCCGGCCUUUAUAUUUAAAUAUAUAUAAUUGUAUAGCCGCCCGGCUAUACUAUUUUUUUUUUGAAUUUUAAAAAACAGUAUAGCCGGUCGGCUAUACUCCUUUUUUGCAUUUAAAAAACAGUAUGCUUUACCUCUUUCCCACGUGGGCUUAGGCCUCGGGCCGAAAUUUAUAUAUAAAUAUAUAUAUAUAUAUAAUAGUAUAGCCGCCCGGCUAUACGAUUUUUUGAAUUUAAAAAAAAUUAGUAUGGCUACGUUUGACAACUAUUAUUGUAGCUAAGGAGACUUGCGUUUUGCUACAUUUAUAGUCAAUCACGUUCACCUCUCUCUCUCUCUCUCUCUCUCAGACCAAAUUUGACUCGCUUGCCAAAUCUUAUUGUAGUUAUUUAUUUUUCAUUUUGUCAUUAGCAUUAUUAUUAUUUUUGCGUACAGAAUAUAUUAUUGUAUUCUGGAAAAUACGUACGUAAGUGUCGAGGUUUCAAAAUACAUACGGAAAAAGGGAAACAAGACCGUGCAAAUCACAUGUCCUUUUUAAUUUUGUCUCCAACUCAUUCAAGAAUCUACAUAUUGGAAGAAAUCAAUCAAGUACCAAAACUGUCUUCCUUGUUCACCACACAAACAUUAUUUAAUUUUCGGAAAAUAUCAGAAAUAAAUAGUGGCAAAUUACAUGCUGCAAAAAGUGUAUCACGUCUGUAGCAAAGAGGAUUAAACAAGUGAAAUUACAAAACAAUUAACUCAGCUCCUGGAGGUAGUUUUUUACCUAUCUGCAAAGCACGCUUUCUUGCUGCCCUCAGUUGUUUCUGGGUUGUAACAAAUUCAGACAAUAGAGUGGAUUCUUCAACGACAACCUUUCUGAGAUCGACGAUAAACGUUUCAAGCGCAACGGCAUUCUCAGAGAAGUACAUGGCAAGCUCAGUGUCGAUACUAGACCCAACGAACCCAGAAAAUUUCACCACCUUAAGGCACUGAUGAGGACAUUUAUUAACCUUCUGCAAAUUCCUCAGACAUGGCACUCGUGCCCAUCUUAGCUGCACAAAGACACAAACAAUAGCUUAUCAAUCUACCUUAGACACGUUAAUUCCACAUAUACAAGUUUUUCAAAAACCACAGAAAAGCAAUACAACUUUUAGAAGUUUGUGUGCAUAAACAUGAAUCAACAAAAACCUUUCUGAAACCAUUAAAUAAACUUCCCAACUUUAAAUUGUAAGACAUGCUGAAAAUAAAUUUACAUCCAAUGUACAUCUAUGCAAGAAAGGAGACCGCUCUAUCAAUUUAGUCAAAUUAAGGAGGCUUUGCCGAUCACUUGCGACAACAUUCAAUGUUAAGUCCUUGAGACAAGUUAAUUCUGGAAAUUCUGGGUGCCUCACCAUUGCACUCUGACAGAUGAAAAGCAAAUUUUGAAAAUAAAGUCUAUAUAUAUAUACAUAAAAUAAUAAUAAUAAAUACUGAAUUAUUUCAUAUACUGACCAUAUUCAGAUUCAUGUCCAAGUUGAGAUUGAGAGUCACCAGCUGAGGAAGACAACUUUUAACCGGAAGAAAAGUUGGAACUAUAGACCUAGUACUUUCUGCAAGUGAUACAUUUACAAGUUCACCGGUUAUGUUUACAAAUGACAAGGAGAGGUGUUUAAGGGACUUGAUGCAGGAAACGCCGAAAGGGCUUCUAAAUGGCUUAUCUGGAAAGAUAUAACUGGCAGCUGAGGAAUACAACUUUUAACCGAAAGAAAAGGUGCAAUUAUGGACCUAGUACUUUCUGCAAGAGAUACAUUAACAAGCAAGGGUGCAUGCCUCAAACGAAUACUGUCACAGAAACCCAACAUUCCCUUAUAAAUAAAUGAUACGAGAUUAGGAGCCCAAAUCUCAACUAAUCCUAAAGACGUACACUCACUUAUUUGUAGGAAAUUCAACCGGAGUGAUGAACCAGCAACUUUCAAAUUUACUAAUUGAUCUGAGCAAGAAAUGCAGAGAUGCUCAAGGAGUUCACAGUAGGAUAGAAAGUGCUAAACAAGUUCGCCGGUUAUAUUUACAAAGGACAAAGAGAGGUGUUUAAGGGACUUGAUGCAGGAAAUACCAAAAGGGCUUCUAAAUGGCUUAUCUGGAAAGAUAUAACUGGGAGAAGAAAAACGAGACCGUCUGCCUGCUUCCAAAUCUAUCUCAAGGCCUUGAACUCUCCUCCACAUUGCAAAUUCAAUCCAAUUGUCGAUUUCAGAACUACUAGGACUGUAAUCGAGUGAGGAAGAACGAAUUUUGAAUUCAUCUAAGGAUGGACCCUGGUGCAAUUGCAAGACUUGAUUCACCCAAUUGUAACUAGAUGUUGUUUUCACUCGUUGCCUUCUUUUCUUCUGUGGUUUGGAUAAUGCAUCUAUAUCAUCGAAGUUGAGACAAGUAAUCUGUUUCCACACACAGAUCCACCUCUUAGAGAGGACACGAGUUCUUGCUGCUUCCCUGAUACCCAAUAAGGAAAGAAUGCUAAUUAGAAUGACAUCUGGUAGCUGACUGAUCUGAUCCUCCUCCGAAUAAUUAUCUUCCUUAUCACCCAAAUUGAUUGGAAUCUUUUGUCGUUUCCCAUAUGUCCAUCCAGAAUGCUUAGCCUUUCUUUUCGGCAUGGAAGUUAGAACACCCUUGUUAUUAAUUUACUCUCUUCUUAAAUAUUACAAUGUAAUGAAAUAAGCUGCAGAAGUGGAGCGAACCGAUUGUUACUAAAACCAACUAUCAAACACAUGAAAAGAAGCGAACAUCUAUAAUAAACGAAGGCGGCGAAAAAGUUGGGUUCGUGAAUACAAAUAAUCUAAGCUAGUGACUCUAGCAGUGAAACCUUAAAACAAAGAAAAGAAGACAAGGCUGCAGAUUAAAAGCUGGUGCUGGUGUUUUUCAUUCACAACAACGUUUAUGAAAUCACACUUGUAUUUGAUUCCGCGUAAAUAAAAAGCAGGGAGGAAGCCAAUAGCUGAUUAAAAGGCCCUGCUUUUCAUUCAAAACUUUGCAAUCUAGAAUUACCAAAGCAGCUACCCUAUUAUUUAUAGGCAGCAAACCGACUAAAAUCCACCAAAUCCAAAUCCAAAUCCAAACCCAAGUCCAACUGGGAAACUACAUUCCUAUUUCCCUCUUUUUAAAGGAGAAGCGGAACCUUUUCUACGUAUUUGGUACAACUACAACAUCUAUAGACAAUUUUGGAUGUAAGCCAUGGAACAUAAUUGCGCCUUUGAAAGAGUAAAUCUGACACUGAUAGGUAUUUUGAUUUCAAAAGCUGGCGAAUUUGAUUGAAAAUCGUCAUGUAACUCAAAACUCCAAACUUAUAACAGGAAAUGAAGUUACGCAAAUCGAAAGGGAAGAACUUACUUAUUUGAGGGGUGGACAGCCUCGGCAUAUCUGCAACGCCUCUAGCCGCGAAGGGAAAUGGGAAAUGGGGAAAUGGGAAAGUCAUCAACAUGGUUUACCCUGUCCCCCAGAUGGGAUCUCUGUUUUGAGCUGGCUUUCUUUACUGUUAUUUGGUUGGGGUCGAGCCAGUUUACUAAACUCCGACGGAGCCUUAGAUUUGUCUAGACUCUAGCCCUUAGUGUAAUUGGUUUCUGUCUGUGUUCUUGCCGACUCUGCCAGCUGUGUUGUAUUUGUUUCCCUUCUGGGCUGUUUUAAAUACAACCACCUCUUUCAGAACUGAAAAAUAAAAUAAAAACGACCAACUCUCUGGCGGGUUUCACCUUGAUUUUUGUUUGGAGGGGUAAAAUGGGAAUUUCAAACGUAAGUUGGGUCUAAAAUUAAAUGGACCCAACUCGGUCCGGUCCAUUUAGUAAUUCCUACACAAAACUUACAAGUAGAGGCCCGCCCAAGAAGGCUUAAAAAAAACAAAGGCCUAGCCGGUCGGCGAGAAACACAUGAAGGGCUCGUUUGGGAAUGCUUCUUUAUGAAGCGCUUAUGUAAGUAGCGCUUAUGCCAGUAGCACUUAUGACAUAAGGGCUUCUACAAAGAAGAAGUUUGUUGUUUGGAUGUUACAUUUAAAAGUGCUUUCCCAAAAUAUUAUAAUAAAUAUAGGAAAUAAAAAUUAACAGGAUUCCAAAAUAAAAACACAGCUUUUAAAAGUUGUGAAAUGUAAAGAUAGUGAUGGAUUAAUAGAAGCUUAAAGGUUUCCAUGGGUGUUUUGGCGUCUGUUGGCCUUUUCACGGGUAGUGUUUUGGUUUUAAUAGGAGAGAAAAAGUGAGGAAAAAAAAAGAAGAAAGGAAGGGUAUCUUGGCAUUUAAAAAAAAUUAAAUAUAGGUAUUUUCGGCAUUUUAAAAGUUUCAUUAAAGGGAGCCAAGUGCUUCCCUUGUUUUUGUCCUGCAACGCUUUUAAGAAGAAGCACAUCUCAAGUGCUUCUUCUAAAACCACUCCACGUGCUUUUGGAUCUCACCCAAAAAGCUUUUGCAAUUUUUGCCAAACACCAUUUUUAAAAGACAGAAGCGCUUUUACUCAUUUAGAAGCACUUUUCGCUGCUCCAAAAGCACUCCCAAACGAGCUCGAAUACUAAGAAACUAGCUUCUUCGCAUGCGCUUCUACGUCUGAGAGAGGCUUUUAAAAAAAAAAAUAAAAGAAUUAAAAAUAAUAAUAGGUAGUUGUGUUCCAUAAAAAUAUGACAUAUUAUCUAAUUUUGUUUUAAUAUGAAAAAAAAUGAAUUUACCAUAUUAUCCUCAUUUAAUUAAUACUUUCAAUUCUUAAUGUUUGAAUUAACCAAAGACAAUUUCUCUGCUAAUUUUUUUUAAAAAAAAUUUCAAAGGGUGAAAUUGGAGUGUCAAAUCUAGCUAGAACAAAAAGUUUAAUUUCUUAUAAAAAUAAUACACAUGGCAAAUUUUGUGUAAGAACCCAAACCAAAAUAUCUAAAAAUUAAGAUUUCUUUAUUCCAACCAAAAGACGAUUUUGCCCUCGCAUAUUUUAAUGGGGGAAAUUUGACUUUUUGAUCGAGAAAGAAUUUGGGAAUUCCGCUUGCACCGUUGCGUAGAGCACGGCAAAACGAGUCCGUAGACACGGAGUAGACCCGAAUCGGAGUUCUAACGAAGAAAAUACGAUCAAAAUAUCGCGAAGGGCAAAACGGUAAUUUGGAAAAAAGUCAGAUUUUUAUCCCUUUCUCUCUCUCCUCCCCUCAGCUUUCUCUCUCUUCUCUCUCUCUCUCUCUCCCUCGCGCGAGCUGUCGCCAGCUCUCCCCUUCCGAUCAACGCAGCGGCCACCACAGGGCACGCCGAUCUACGGCGUUGGUACCUUCGGCUUCGUCUCGCCGCUGCCGUCACGCCACGACCAGUCUCCGCCCACGGGACGACCGGAGCUUGCCGGAAACUGGGAGAGAACCGCCGGAUUUCACCCGAUUUUCAGUCCCUUCGUUCUCCCUCGUUUCUCAACCAAAUCAAUCGAGUGAGGUAUGGAUUUUCACCUAUUUUUCGUGCUCUAACUGAUGGUUGGCUGGGUUUAGAUCGAUUUCACCUCUAGGUUGCUCAAUUUUCGAUUUGAAAAUCGGCCGAACUUUGGCCGCCGUGAUCGGCCACUUUUUGGGGUAUGUCCAAGAACAAAAAUGACUCCAAAUGGGGUGUUUUACCUAGGAUAGGAGUUUGGGGUCUUGGUUCCGAGAUUUUUCGACGAACCCUAAUCGCUUUGGACACCCGAUCUGCCCGCGCGUGUGGCGGCGCGUGGGCGAGGGUGGUGGCAUGACUCUGGACAGUUUUGAGGUCCUCGUGCCGUCAUGAGCAAGUAGGAUUUCGCGGAUCUCGAUUCGGAGUCCGUUUGAGCCCCAAACGGAUUUUCCAUAUCGCGCGAUCCUUGGGUGCAGUGUCGUUAAAUCGUUGGAUCGCGCUGAAUUUUGGAUAUGUCGGUCUAGGUGAUUUCAGGAUCGCGUAGGAUUCGACGGAUUGCGAAUCGGAGUCCCGGAUACUCCGAAAUCGCGAAUCCUGGGGCUAGGGUUUGGAUUUUAAGCGAUAAUGCGAUUUUGGCUAAUCCGACCGUCCGUUUCGGACCGAAUUCGCGGAACAUGGUUCCCUCUCUAUGAGGAACCUUCAGGGAAGCCCAGAUUGGCCAUCGGAGAUCGUGGACCCCACGGGUCCCGGGUCGGCCGAUCUGUCAGUUUAUCGCUUAGCUGAGCGUCGGACCUUCCAAAACUGGUCCAAGUGUCUGAAAGGGAUAAUGUGGGCAUAAGAGUAACUUGAAAUGAAAUGCACGUAUUUCUAGGAGCCGGGGGCAGGGUGUUUAAUUUAAAUUCUUUUUAUCCAGCAGUUUAUUAAUUUAUUAUUCUUGGAUAAUCAGGCACCAGGAGUCCAGCUAACCCACAUGAGGGACCUUCGAAGGGUCCAGCUAGCUCGGACCAGCAGUGAGUGGACUUUUCUUUCGUAAAAGAUUUUAUAAUUAUACUUUCUAUUUGAUCUUGAAUAAAUGAUAUAACAUGAAUUUUAUUGUGAAAUAUCUUUAUUUCUAUAAAAAAUUAGCCGAAUAAACAGAUUUGAGAUUCUUGAUACAGAAAUUUGUAAUUUAACUCAGAUUUACCAGAGUAUAGAGGGUAUCAUAUUUUAUCAGAGAUAGUUGUUAUAGACCACCAUGUACCCACCCUCUAUUUGGUGAUUAUCCAGAGUUGGACCGAUGUCUACGGACAUCCAGUCCGAUUUCAGUUUAUGUCAGUGCACUUGACUUUGCCUCACGAUUUCCGGGGACGCUCGGACCGUGAGUGCCAGAAUUUGCGGCUCGGCAGACUUGGUGUCCCGAGACCUGCCAGGAUUGCGGCUCGGCUGACUCUGUGUCCCCGAGACCUGCCAGGAUUGCAGAUCAGGCUGACUACGGUCCCCUGCAUCCUGCCUGAGCGACUCGAGCUGACUUGGUGUCAUCGAGGACCUGUCGGCGGAUCAGGCUGAUCAUAGUCCCCUGAUUUCGCCAGUUUGCGGCUCGGGUAGCCUGUGUGACGCCCGAGACCUGCCAGGGAAUUGACGGCUAUCACAUGGGUACAAUUAGGUGGCAGUUUUAAAGGAUUCUUUUUAAACCUUUUUAGUGCAGUUAUUGUUUCACUCAUUUCUAUCAGUAUGUUCGAUACUCAAACAUGUGUUAUACUGAUAUAUCUUUGUUUAGUAUGUGAACAUUUAUAUAGUUAUGUUUAUCUAUGUUUAAAUUAAAUGUCUCGAGUUUGAUUAUGAUCAAAUCAUAGCUUUUAUAUCCCUAUGUUUUUCAAACGGGGGUUAUUAUGUUCUAAAUUGUUUUCACGAACAUUAUUUUUGUCCACUCACCAUUUUAACCUUGUUUUUCGCCCCCAGGCCGUAGAAGAAGGAAGGAAACCACCCGGGCCAUCAUCUUAGCUCCCGCCCCACCACCGAAGCGUAGGAUCUCGUUGUAACUUUUCUUAGUUCUGUAAAUUUGUAUAGAAAGGCUCUGAUAUCUUGUUGAACAUGAGAAACUGGAGUUGAGAUUUGUUGGUUGUAUUAAUCUGGCGGUUGGUGUAUUAUUUGAGACUGUUUGAUAGGUGGAAGAUUUUGGGUUUGGUCAAAAUACAGGGGAGACUCUGCCGAAUUUUCAGCAGAAGUCUGAGGGAAAUUUUAAAAGAAAUUGAAAAAGGAAAGGGUAAAAAGGUCAUUUGUGCCCGACAUUCGCCAGGUGUCGGACACGCACAGGAUUCGGCUCAGAUUCCAAAGAGGAAAUUGGGUCGGGUCCUGUCAUUUUGAGUAGAAGUAUCACCAGCUGACGUGAUGAUAUCGUACUAUUCUAUAAUUUUUCCAGCUGGAGGGGGAGUAUUAACUAGAAGAAAUAUGAAUUCCUUAAUUAUAGGAUCUUAUAAAUUAGAGAUUGUAAUUUACUUUCUGUACAAGACUUACCUAGAAUGGCUUAGCUAUUAAUUGUAUAAGAAUUACAUCCUAUUGUAGAUUUUAAGAUCAAAUAACAUAGAGAUGUUGUAAAGUCAACAAUGUGGAUCCCAAAAUGGCAAGCCCCACUACCCAAUUGAUUGAAGAAUAUUAAUGAUGUUUGUCUGCCAAUUAUUCGAGCGAAGCCAAAUACCUGUGAAGUGAACAGCCAAUGUCUUUGGCUUAUAAAUAGAUACCUCCAUCAGGAGAAGAGGGCGCUUAGAGAAGAGGAAGAGAAGGAAGAAAGAACGUGAGUGAGUGGAGAGGAAAGAUAGCAGAGAGAAAUUCUCAAAGAGAGAAAAUUCAGUGAGCCACACAUAUUGUAAACACUAAAGUUGUAGCCCUAUUAUUUUAUAUAGUAGAAAAGUUACUACUGCUGCUCCGAGGACGUAGGCAUAACCGAACCUCGUUAAAUGUUGUGUCUCAUCUACUUUACGUGCAGCUCAAUAUUCACACAUAUUCCAGUUCAUUUUAUAACAAGAGAGAUAUUCUCCCUAGCAAUCUCCUUAUUUUUCUAACAGUAACAAACAACUUGGGAUUCCCCACCCCUUUUUUUCCGCCUAGCUUCAUUCAGGGCCUUUUUAAACUUUAUUUUCCUCUUCCAUACUAUUUAGAUCUUUUCCCCUUCACCCGUCUCAUGGCCCGACAAAGUGGUGACUGACUGGAUUAAAUAUACAGUGAAGAUUCCUCCCCUUGUUUCUUCUACGACAAAGUGGUGUCUAGAUUAACAGCUUCCUCUAAACUGGAAUCAACACCAAUACGAUGUCAGCUUUGCAUAUAGGGCUUCUGUACAUAUUGAUAUACGGAAUUGUUAUUUAUUUCCUGAAUAGAAAAAUGGGCUGAAAAAAUCAUAACUAUACUUAACAAUGUUGCUUUUGCUAAUUCGAAUUGAAGGGUGAUAUAAAAUCGGUCUAUUUCCGGCAUCAUACCCAUAGUUAGCGCAUUCAUCAUAGUUAGAAGCUCUAGCUCCGUAUCAAAGUCACGGUCGUCACUAUCAUCAAGUACAUAUCCCGUGUACAUCUAAGUACUGCUGUUCUUAAAUCUAGCUGCCUAGAACUCCAACAGAAACACACAAUGUCCCAUGAACGUAAUGAACCAAAACAAGAUCCAUACAAAAAGUCAUAGGCCAAAGAGUAGCUAAGCAGCUAGAUUUAAGAACUUAUAAUAGUGAAGAUUUCCACGUCUUCUCCAACAAUCGUUGGUCAUCACGACCAUACAUUAUUUCAAUUUCCGAAUAUGUCAGAAAUAAAUAGUAGCAAAUUACAUGCUGCAAGAAAGUCUGUAGCAAAGAGGACUAAACAAGUGAAAUCACACAACAAUUAACUCAGCUCCUGGAGGUAGUUUUUCUCCAAUCUGCAAGGCCCGCUUUCUUGUUGCCCUCAUUUUUUUCUGGGUUGUAACAAAUUCAGACAAUGGAGUGGAUUCUUCAACGACAACCUUUUUGAGAUCGAUGAUAAACGUCUCAAGCGCAACGGCAUUCU
rnacentral:lncRNA from 1 species